UGGGGAAUUUUGGACAAUGGGCGAAAGCCUGAUCCAGCAAUGCCGCGUGUGUGAAGAAGGCCUUCGGGUUGUAAAGCACUUUUGUCCGGAAAGAAAUCCUUGGCCCUAAUACAGUCGGGGAUGACGGUACCGGAAGAAUAAGCACCGGCUAACUACGUGCCAGCAGCCGCGGUAAUACGUAGGGUGCAAGCGUUAAUCGGAAUUACUGGGCGUAAAGCGUGCGCAGGCGGUUUGCUAAGACCGAUGUGAAAUCCCCGGGCUCAACCUGGGAACUGCAUUGGUGACUGGCAGGCUAGAGUAUGGCAGAGGGGGGUAGAAUUCCACGUGUAGCAGUGAAAUGCGUAGAGAUGUGGAGGAAUACCGAUGGCGAAGGCAGCCCCCUGGGCCAAUACUGACGCUCAUGCACGAAAGCGUGGGGAGCAAACAGGAUUAGAUACCCUGGUAGUCCACGCCCUAAAACGAUGUCAACUAGUUGUUGGGGAUUCAUUUCCUUAGUAACGUAGCUAACGCGUGAAGUUGACCGCCUGGGGAGUACGGUCGCAAGAUUAAAACUCAAAGGAAUUGACGGGGUCAUAGCUG
rnacentral:rRNA from 1 species